rnacentral:rRNA from 1 species
CACGUAGGUGGCGAGCGUUAUCCGGAUUUAUUGGGCGUAAAGCGCGCUCAGGCAGCCAAUCAAGUCUGACGUGAAAGCUCCCGGCUCAACUGGGAGAGGUCGUUGGAAACUGAGUGGCUUGAGGCAAUGAGAGGGGUGCGGAAUUCCCGGUGUAGUGGUGGAAUGCGUAGAUAUCGGGGGGAACACCAGUGGCGAAAGCGGCACCCUGGCAUUGACCUGACGCUCAUGUGCGAAAGCGUGGGGAGCAAACGGG